ACUGCAUCAUUUUCCAUUCCAGCCAGUGCAGGAGCCAGGCUAAGACUGUGCUGAGGACCGCAGCAAGGAGAGACCCCAAAAAGGAAUGUCUCCAAAACAAUAGAGUUGCCUGUGACGGGGUCCCUCUUUUGAGAAGGUGCAACCGUUGCCAUCUCAAGCUCUGAAAGGAAGCCCGGCAGAUUCCUGGUGCCCUAAGAACCCACCACUUCCUUGCACAGUGACUGUGGGAAACUUCAGAUCACCUCAGCUUCUCUGUCUGCAAAGUGGAUGUCUGCAAAGGCCUUCUCCCCACCCCCGGAGAACUGGUGUGAAGAAUGAAGCAGGUUGACAGAGACAAACUGGAAGGGAGGAUGUGAAACUUUGAGUCUUUCAUUCCAAGGCUUUUACCCCUUCCUGACCACUACUCCAUCACUGGGGUGCUCGAGCAUAGAACCCAGGCUGAAGCAACUCGGCGUGCACGUGAGGUGAGGCCCAGGGGACUCAUUUGAAUGGCAGUGGUGGCAGCAAAGGCCGUCAGCGGCAGCACUGUGCAGGGCUGGCUUCAUAGCAGUGGCACCCAUGCCACGCUGGUAAUGAGUCAUCACUCAGCUGCUGGCUCGGUGGAGCCUCCACACUCUCAUCUCCGCCCUGCUGCCGGGGCAGGAAUGUGCCCGGCACGUCUCAGAACCGCCUGACCAGCUCUUGGCAAGUUUCUUUCCUGCCUUGGGCAGCCGGAACCAGAUUGUUACCUGCAGUUAAGAACUCCAGUGAAUCGGGCUGGGGAUUUAGCUCAGUGGCAAAGCACCUGCCUGGCAAGCGCAAGGUCGUGAGUUCGGUUCCCGGUA